GCAAAGCGUUGUCGUUUUGAAGGUAACUUACCUACAGCAAGAAAAUCAAAUGACAGCAUUUCCAAACAUCUCCGUCUAUUAUUUUUACAAACAGGUUGAGUGCCCAAUUGACAGACCUUCCUUUCGAGUUUUUGGCACAGUUCAUUAGUCGAAGCUAAUUCGGAUUGCAAUUCUUUUAAGUUUCUAGAAUAUUCUUCUUCAUUACGCUUUUGUUUCUGUAUUCAAACACUGGAGUCAACUUUCAACGAAACGAAAUCAAACAAAUAAGAAAAAUCUCGACACUUAACCUGGACUAAAAGAUGAAUUUCUUCGGUUGCUGAGUUUUCUUUCUCCUAAUAUUUCAAAGAAAACAGUUAAAAAGGACAUGAUGAUGAUGAUGAUGAUGAUAAUAACAUAGAUGAUUAUGGUCGCAACUGUGACGCGAAAGCUUACUUUGAGAUGACGAGUUUCGGCUAUUAGGGCUUGAAGUUGGAACUUGAAUUUGGACAAUCUCAGCAGCUCCAUUUUUUUUCUUACUGUGAAUUAUUCAGUGAACUCUAUUUGUUACUUGUUGAAGAUUACUUCCAUUUUACUAGUUCAAUUCACUAUCAUUAUUUAAACGUUCAUGUAUCCUCCGGUGGUGCCCGAAAUAUAAUUUUGGAAACAAAUUUUCCCGCCAUGUGGGGGCUUGGUAAAAGUUCAACUUACAACGUGGCUUUUCUAUUUUGAGAUUGAAUAAUUGGCAUGUUUGAUUUAGAACUGGAAACUCUUUUUUUAUUUUAAUAUUAGAAUUUUUUUAAAUUUUAUUAUCAAAUUUCAUUUAAAAUUUUAUAUUUUUUUAUUAUGAAUUUUUUAAUAAAUAUUAUAUAUAAUACUUUUUACUUACAUGCAUAACAAAUUAUGUAAUUCCAAAAGCUCUAUUACAAAAAGUAUUAUAAUUUUUCUUACUCUUAUUUUUAUCAUAUUAUUUAUUUCAAGUAUUAUUAUUUCAUGGGUGCAUUUGGUUUGUCAUUAUUUGUUGCACUAGGUUGUAUUGUAUUAUUUUUUAUCACAUUAGGCUGUAUCAAACUAUAAUUUAGUAAAAAAAAUUUAUCCUUCACGUAUAGUAACAAAAUUUUUUAAUAAUAUAAUGUCAGUCCAUAUUACAUAAAAUUAAUUCAGCACCCAUUUGGAGAUAAUGAUUUAUUAUUUUCAAAGCAAAUUAAAGGAUUAAAUAACAUAAUAAAAAUUAAGUAUGAAAAAUUACAAUAUUUUUUGUAAUGAAGCUAUUAGGGUUACAUAAUUUGUUGUAAAUGUAAGAAAAAAAUACCACAAUAUUUAUAAAAAAAAUUGAAAUAAAAAGAGCGUAAAAGUGUUAAAUGAAAUUUGAUAGUAGAUGUAAAAAAAAAGACUUAUAUUUAAAAAAAAUAAAAAGGAGUGUAAGAAAAAUAAAUUAAAUUUUUUUAAAUUAAACAUGCCAAUGAUUCAAUUUCAAAAUAGCAAAGAGGUAUAUCAAGAUAAAUAAAUAAAUAAGGAGAGGUAUUGUGAUACAAAUACAAUAUUGGAUAAAAUUAUAUAAAUAUGAUAUAGUAUAAAGUGCUAACUGAUAUGUACUUAUGGAUGUAAGUAGAAAUAAGUUUAAUACUUAUCAAACAAAUGUUAAAUAAAAGUGACUGAAGGGUUUAUAUGAAAAUUUGUCACUAAAGACAAAAGAAGUUGCAUGGUAUAACUGUUGUAACAGCUGGACCCAUGAAAUCGUCAUUUUCCUUCUAAGAAAACAUCGGACGUAGCUCUUCCCCUUCCACCUGGACAGUGGACACCCCCCCACCCCCAACCCCUCUCUCGAAAUGAGAACGUGUUUGUGCUGUUGCAGCGUUGUAGUCCUUGAAAAAAAUUUUAUACCCCUAAAUUUUUUUAAAUUUUCAAUAAUGGAAGAUAAUUUUUUUAUUUUUCAGGUAUGUCAGUGUUAGUGUCUUAUCUCAUAAAAUGAUUCAAUUAUACAUUUAUUGAAUAAAUUAAAAUAAUUAGGAGGCUAAAGUGAUAGUACUAACUUAAUUUAUUAUAAAAAAAUUAUGAUUUGAUCCAAUUAAAAGAAAUAUAUGUCAAUAUAUUAUAACAUUGUUAUUUGAGUAAUUUUAUAAGAGGGGAAUCACCCACUUUAACUAAAGCAAUAAUGUUAAAAAUCCCAACAUUUGAGUCAUAAAUUGAGUGUGAAUAUUAUGUGUUACUCAUCUAUUGGAUGAUGAAUGUAAAAUUACUUAUUACUCGAUUCUACCAUUCAAUUGAUUAAUGUCACAUCAGUUGUGACUUAAAUUACAACUAUAAUAUUGGGCAAUAAUAUAAUAAUAAUUAACAACAUUUUUCAUAAUUUCAUGGUUUGUUUCCCUCAUUGUCAUAUCUGUUAUUUUUAUUUUUAUUAAAUAAAAUUAUCAAGAUAUAUCACAUUCUCUAUAACUAAAAUAAAAAAAAUUUAUAAGUAAUUUUUUAAUUUACAGUUUUGAUAAUUUAUAUUAUAAGCAUGUUUUUUAUUGUUAUUAUUCUUUUAUUAAAUAUAUGUAUUUUACUAAGACUUUAGAUGUGCUGUUACUUGAUAUGAACACACACACACACACAUAUUACCCCUUUGCAUGAAUCAAUUUCACAUAAAAUAAUUACCAUAAAUCCAUUAAUUAGGUUAAAAUAAUAAAAAGUCUUGGUUUGUCAUUGCAUUCACUGCUUCCUUGCCACAUUUAUUUGUAUAUUAUAAUGACUUAGUAGAAUAUAUAUGUGGUAAACAGUGAAUGAAAAAAGAAUAAUACUCUAGGAGACUGGGUUGGGUCAUGACAAAGGGCCCGUUUGGUAUCGUUUUAGAGGCCCUGUUUUCAUUUUCCUUUUCUAAAUUUAAGUUAGUACGCGUUUGGUGGCUCGAUUUCAAAAAUCAAAUUAUAAAACAAAUAAUUUGAGAUUCACUUUUAUAACUGUGAAAGUGAGAACGUGUUUAACAUGGUCUCACCAUAUUCCAAAACUAAACUAAAAAAUAGAUUAAAAAACAAACUCCAGUGACUCUCACUUCAUCCUUAUCUCUUCGGGCUUAUCUCUUCAACUCUCUCUCCCGAUCUACUCACAUCGUUUACUCUCUCGGUGUGCUUUAUCUCUUCGACUCUCUCUCGCGAUCUACUCACAGUGGUUACUCUCUCGCGUUGUGCCCAAAACGGCUGCUGUACCGGCCGCCGCCGCUGCUUCAUUGGGCCACUGUUAUUGCUCCAUCUCCGCCACCGUCGCUGCUCCGUCUCGACUGCCUCGACUGCUACUGCUCUGUCAGCUCCGUCUCUACUAUUGUGAGUUGCUGAUUUUUUUAUUUUAUUUGAGUAAAUGCUCGCAAGAAUGCCUCCUUUUCUAUUGAAUCAAAUAACGUCAAAUGAGAGUUUAUCUUCUCAUGUAGUACAGUGAGCUUUCUAUCCCUGGUUUCAAUCGCACGUUUCAUAUCACAGGUAGAUUCCUGCUCAAAACAUUUACAUCAGAAUACACUUAAGAUGAAUCCUCUAGAUAAUGGAAUCAGAAGAACAGAAAAUACUUUAAUCAUUGCUAGCACCUACCCCUUACAUGCUUGGCAUAUCACAAAACCAAAAUCGAAUUACUUCCCAAACAUUUGGGCAGUCACAAGUACCACCAGCAUCCAAAAGUAGUACUCACAAAGAUACACGCAAGUGAAAGCAGUUAAUUUAGAUGAUCAAUUAACAUCUCUAGUCCCUGGAUAAUCAAACUCUAUCACAGUCAUCUCGUUAAGGAUAUUUUAAAACCUCACAUACAAUAUGAUUUCUUAGCGGCCAUAAAUUCAUAUAAUUCAGCCGUUUCACCGGAACAUGCAUUUCAAGUUCUCCAGUAUGUAAAAACAUGACAAUAAAAUUAAUAUAAUGAUUAUUAAGCACAAACCUCAUAAGCACUUAGGAAAUUUUCCCUAUAUUGAAGCAGCCUAUUUAUAGUUUCCUUCAACUCCUUUUGCUUGUUUUCAAGCAAAGCGUUGUCGUUUUGAAGGUAACUUACCUACAGCAAGAAAAUCAAAUGACAGCAUUUCCAAACAUCUCCGUCUAUUAUUUUUACAAACAGGUUGAGUGCCCAAUUGACAGACCUUCCUUUCGAGUUUUUGGCACAGUUCAUUAGUCGAAGCUAAUUCGGAUUGCAAUUCUUUUAAGUUUCUAGAAUAUUCUUCUUCAUU
rnacentral:lncRNA from 1 species